rnacentral:rRNA from 1 species
ACGAACGCUGGCGGCGUGCUUAACCCAUGCAAGUCGAACGGAAAGGCCCUGCUUUUGUGGGGUGCUCGAGUGGCGAACGGGUGAGUAACACGUGAGUAACCUGCCCUUGACUUUGGGAUAACUUCAGGAAACUGGGGCUAAUACCGGAUAGGAGCUCCUGCUGCAUGGUGGGGGUUGGAAAGUUUCGGCGGUUGGGGAUGGACUCGCGGCUUAUCAGCUUGUUGGUGGGGUAGUGGCUUACCAAGGCUUUGACGGGUAGCCGGCCUGAGAGGGUGACCGGCCACAUUGGGACUGAGAUACGGCCCAGACUCCUACGGGAGGCAGCAGUGGGGAAUAUUGCACAAUGGGCGGAAGCCUGAUGCAGCAACGCCGCGUGCGGGAUGACGGCCUUCGGGUUGUAAACCGCUUUCGCCUGUGACGAAGCGUGAGUGACGGUAAUGGGUAAAGAAGCACCGGCUAACUACGUG